AUUGAACGCUGGCGGCAUGCCUUAUACAUGCAAGUCGAACGGCAGCACGGGAGCAAUCCUGGUGGCGAGUGGCGAACGGGUGAGUAAUAUAUCGGAACGUGCCCAGUAGUGGGGGAUAGCCCGGCGAAAGCCGGAUUAAUACCGCAUACGCACUGAGGGUGAAAGCGGGGGAUCGCAAGACCUCGCGCUAUUGGAGCGGCCGAUAUCAGAUUAGCUUGUUGGUGGGGUAAAAGCCUACCAAGGCGACGAUCUGUAGCUGGUCUGAGAAGACGAUCCACGAGACAGGGACUGAGACACGGACAAGACUCCAACGGGAGGAAGCAGUGGGGAAUUUUGGACAAAGGGCGCAAGCCUGAUCCAGCCAUGCCGCGUACGGGAGGAAGGCCUUCGGGUUGUGAACCGCUUUUGUCAGGGAAGAAACGGCUCUUGAUAAUACCAAGAGCUAAUGACGGUACCUGAAGAAUAAGCACCGGCUAACUACGUGCCAGCAGCCGCAGUAA
rnacentral:rRNA from 1 species